GUGGGGAAUAUUGCGCAAUGGACGAAAGUCUGACGCAGCGACGCCGCGUGUGGGAUGAAGCCUUUCGGGGUGUAAACCACUGUUGCCCGGGACGAAAAGCCCUUUCGAGGGAAUUGACGGUACCGGGUGAGGAAGCACCGGCUAACUCUGUGCCAGCAGCCGCGGUAAUACAGAGGGUGCGAGCGUUGUCCGGAAUCACUGGGCGUAAAGGGCGCGUAGGUGGCUUGGUAAGCGUGUGGUGAAAGUCCGGGGCUCAACCCCGGAUCUGCCGUGCGAACUGCUGAGCUCGAGCACUGUAGAGGCAGGUGGAAUUCCGGGUGUAGCGGUGGAAUGCGUAGAUAUCCGGAAGAACACCGGUGGCGAAGGCGGCCUGCUGGGCAGUUGCUGACACUGAGGCGCGACAGCGUGGGGAGCAAACAGGAUUAGAAACCCGGGUAGUCC
rnacentral:rRNA from 1 species